GACGGACCACACGAACGUUAUUCGGAAUUACUGGGCUUAAAGGGUGCGUAGGCUGUGCAGAAAGUUGGGUGUGAAAUCCCCCGGCUCAACCGGGGAACUGCGCCCAAAACUACUGCGCUCGAGGGAGACAGAGGUGAGCGGAACUUAGGGUGGAGCGGUGAAAUGCGUUGAUAUCCUAAGGAACACCGGUGGCGAAAGCGGCUCACUGGGUCUCUUCUGACGCUGAGGCACGAAAGCCAGGGGAGCAAACGGG
rnacentral:rRNA from 1 species